rnacentral:misc_RNA from 1 species
UUUCCGUAGGUGAACCUGCGGAAGGAUCAUUAUUGUAUAACCGAGGUGCGAGGGCUGUCGCUGACCCGAAAGGUCGUGCACGCCCGAGUACCCUCACACACAUCCAUCUCACCCCUACGUGCACCACCGCGUGGGUCCCCCUUUGGCUUGUUCGGAGGGGGGCUUACGUUUUCACACAAACUUUGUAUGCAGUGUAGAAUGUAUUUUUUGUUUUUGCGAUCACGCAAUCAAUACAACUUUCAACAACGGAUCUCUUGGCUCUC